CCUCUUUGGACUAGGAAGACAUCUCUAUAAAUAGGGAUUUUUCUAACCUAGAUUUAAGAGAGUAUUCUAUACAAUACUUGCCCACCCAAGUAUUGAGUGAGUUUAAUUGUUGAUUGGGAUCACUGUAGAAGACUAUAGAACUGGAGUUGGAUUUACUUCAAGAUAUCUGCACACGCUUCAAGAGUGGAAAUGACGAUACGACUAAUCCUACUAUGAAUGGCGAUGGAGAAAAACAAAACAGAUGGAAGAGAAGAACUAAAAUAUCGGAGGAAAAAAGAGGAAGAAGAAGGUUGUAUGAUUGCGGCCGCGAACUGGUGCGGUGGAUGGAGUGAUGGCAAAGAGGUGAGGAUGAAGGAAGAACAUCUUUUACAAACAAAAAUACAAAACUAAAUACAUUUCACGCCCCUAAAUUUCGUGAAUUACAAAUAAUAUGUCAUGUAGCUAAAAAAAUAUUCAAAUGGUUUAAAUUCAGGAAGAUAGAGAUGUUCAAUUAUAUAUCUUAGUUAUUUAAAUUAUAACGACAACUUUUAAGAGAUUCUAAAUAACUUAGAAAGUAUGUAAUUUGUUCACAUGUGAAUCGCCUUUAGUACAUGGUAUCUCAAGUUUUGUAGCA